GUGAGCAACAGAGUGACACAGUUCUCUUCUGGCAUCAUGGCAGUAUUGUCCCAGCUGCUUCUGCUGACCUCUGAGUAUGAAAACAGUUUCAAGUAGGAAGAUGGUGAACAAGUGGCUCCAAGGUGCUUAGCUACUGCAGAGAGUUAAAAGACAAUGAUCUUCCAAAAUAUUGUAAAUGUCUUAAGGAUUUAAGUGAAUGUCUUCAAAUAAAAUCCAAUUAAUAUCUUGC